rnacentral:tRNA from 1 species
GCGCGCGUGGACAAACCUCUGGUAAAGUCGCCAUGUUGAGAGCGUGGAGUUGUAUGGGUUCGAAUCCCAUCGUGCGCACCA